GUGCGGCGAACAAACUUUCCAUCCUAUAGAAAUAUCCGACCGCGAAAGGUCGUCCCAUUUCCGAUUUCGAACUCUCCCGCGGCUUUUUUUCUCUUUCACCUGCAAACUUACUUCGCCAAAACCCUAAACCCUCGAAUCUCUCUCUUUGUCCUUUGAUGCUUAAACCCUCGAAUCACCAGCUUCUCCAAACCUCUCAAAUGCCAUCCUUCCUCAAUCUCAAGUCCGUCCUCAAUCUCACCAAAUCCAUUUCCAUCCCCAAAUGUUCCCAAAUAUCCCAAACUCUCCGCGACUUCAGUUCUCCCAAUGCCAGACCCUACCAUUCCACGAAUCCCCGCCAUUGCGAAGAAUCAAAAGCCGAUCUCCAACACCCUGAAGUCUGGACUGGCUUCGAUCCCGUCACCAAAGAACUUGUAACGAGACAGAUUACCAACAAUGGCGAAGAUUUAGGCAGCAGAGAAGAAAACCCUAGCUCGGAAAAGCCCAUCGUGAAGAAACCCGUCUGGUCUGGUUACAAUUCCAAUUUGAGGUCAGGAGGGGGUGUGGGGCCCCCACUGAGGAGGACGGGGAAGGUCAAGGUGCAUUGGGUGUGCCAGGAGUGUGGAGCAUCAGACGGGCAGUGGUGGGGGACGUGCCCGUCUUGCAAGGCCACGGGUUCGUUGAAGCAAUUUGCGGACUCGGAGAGGGUCUCUGGGAGCAAUAAGACAAGGGUGUCGUGGCUGCCGCGACGUCCAGCUGAGAUGCAUCCGAGGAGACUGACAGAAGUGAAUAAGGGGAUAAACAAGUUGGAGUGGAGAAUUCCAUUGUUGGGAAUCUUUGGAAUGGAAGUUGCUAGGGUGCUUGGUGGUGGGCUUGUACCAGGCUCCUUGGUUUUAGUUGGCGGUGAUCCUGGCGUUGGCAAAAGUACCCUAUUAUUGCAGAUUGCUGCAAUUCUUGCCGAAGGACGUGAUUUUGAACCAGCUCCAGUAGUAUAUGUUUCAGGUGAAGAGAGUGUUGAGCAAAUUGCAAACAGAGCUGAUCGUAUGAGAAUUGGGACAAAUGACCUUUUCUUGUAUUCGAGUACAGAUGUUGAGGACAUAUUGGAAAAAGCUCAAGGGCUCUCUCCUCGAGCUUUGAUUGUGGAUUCUAUUCAGACUGUUUAUUUGAGAGGAUUGGAUGGAAGUGCUGGAAGUGUUUCACAGGUGAGAGAGUGCACCUCAGCCUUGUUGCGCUUUGCAAAGCAAACAAGUAUACCUGUGCUUUUGAUAGGACAUGUGACAAAAACUGGAGAUAUAGCAGGGCCUCGUGUCUUGGAGCACAUCGUGGAUGCUGUUUUAUAUAUGGAAGGUGAGAAGUACUCGUCUCAUCGUUUACUGCGAUCAGUGAAGAACCGUUUUGGGUCCACCGAUGAGCUUGGGGUAUUUGAAAUGUCACAAUCUGGACUGCAAGCUGUGUCAAAUCCUAGUGAGAUGUUCUUGAGUGAAAAUUACUCUGAUUCUGAGGUUUUGGCUGGACUUGCUGUUGCUGUAAUUAUUGAUGGGUCUCGAACUUUUCUUAUUGAGAUUCAGGCGUUGUGUUCAUCUGGCUCAAUAGAUUCAAGGCAUGUCAAUGGAGUCCCAAAAGGAAGAGCUGACAUGAUUAUUACUGUUCUUAUGAAGCAAGCUGGCCUGAAGCUCCAGAACAGUGCCAUUUUCUUGAAUGUUGUAAGUGGACUGGCUUUGACAGAGACUGGAGGGGAUCUUGCAAUAGCAGCUGCAAUUUGCAGCAGCUUCCUGGAGUUUCCCAUUCCCAAUGAUGUCGCAUUUAUUGGAGAGGUCGGGCUUGGUGGUGAGCUUCGCACGGUUCCCAGAAUGGACAAGAGGGUGAUUGCUGUAACUAAGUUGGGGUACAAGAAGUGUGUCAUUCCGAAAUCGGCAGAGAAAACUCUAACUUCUCUUGAUAUGGGGGAAACAAUGAUUGUCGGCUGCAACAAUCUGAAAGACGUAAUCAACAGAAUAUUUCGUGCAGACUGAGAUAUGGUGUUAUUUGCUCCCCUGAUGAUUAGUGCUGAUUACCCAUCCAAAGACUGGAGAUUGAGAAGAGGUAGGGACGAAGAUGCUGGCUUAAGUUGACGUGGGCUCUGCAUCUCUGCCCUCUAUUCAUGCCAAAAAUCAAGAAGUCGUGAUCAUAUCAUCAAGGAUACUUGCUGGAGCAUGGUCCAUCCAUGGGUGGCCCAACAGACCAAUGAUGGGGGGGGGGGGAGGGAACAGUAGUAUAUAUAAUCUCAGGUGGAGAAUCCCCUUUUAUUGUAUCAGACGGAGAUCAU